rnacentral:sRNA from 12 species
CCUUUGGAGAGCUAAAAUCACUAAAGUAGCUUAAGCGAAAUAGAGUUCAAUGAAGAAGGAA